AGUGAACGCUGGCGGUAGGCCUAACACAUGCAAGUCGAACGGCAGCACAGUAAGAGCUUGCUCUUACGGGUGGCGAGUGGCGGACGGGUGAGGAAUACAUCGGAAUCUACUUUUUCGUGGGGGAUAACGUAGGGAAACUUACGCUAAUACCGCAUACGACCUACGGGUGAAAGCAGGGGAUCUUCGGACCUUGCGCGAUUGAAUGAGCCGAUGUCGGAUUAGCUAGUUGGCGGGGUAAAGGCCCACCAAGGCGACGAUCCGUAGCUGGUCUGAGAGGAUGAUCAGCCACACUGGAACUGAGGCACGGUCCAGACUCCUAAGGGAGGCAGCAGUGGGGAAUAUUUGACAAUGGGCGGAAUCCUGAUCCAGCCAUACCGCGUGGGUGAAGAAGGCCUUCGGGUUGUAAAGCCCUUUUGUUGGGAAAGAAAAGCAGCAGGUUAAUACCCCGCUGUUCUGACGGUACCCAAAGAAUAAGCACCGGCUAACUUCGUG
rnacentral:rRNA from 1 species